AGAAUUAUUCAAAGAUGCCAGAAGGCCCAACUGGAUGACCAUUCUUCGUUUUAUCUAUACAAAUCUUGACUUUGAGGAAAACUCUGAAGUUGUUUCAGCAGGACACUUUCAAUAUGAUGGUUGAUGCAAAAUGCAGAAGACAUCAAAAUCAGGGGAGAAGGAUGGAGGAUGCAGUGAUGUGGGACUCGUAGGCAGCCACCCCUCCUCUACACAGCAGAGCAGGAUGGCCACCCACUCUACUGCAUCAUGGGCUUUACCGCCCAAUCCUCGCCCAGUCACAAGAUAGACAAUUGCAUGAUGGAUGAUUCACAAGCGCCUCGUCCAUCAGCAAUCCAUCUCUGCCUGGCUUUGGUUAAAGAUCUGAUGCUUAAGGCUUCCUUUGAUGCAUCUGAAGAAGAGAUUUGUAACAAAACUGGGGAAUCCAUCAUUUAAGUUGUGAUUUGUUUGAAUGAAUCCCUUUGGGUUUGAUAAAAGUCAAUCUAGAUGUUUAUGGGAUUCACACAGAAAGAACCGCACCCACUGAUAGUGCUGUUAAUUUGCUUUAUGCAUUGCUUUAGCACUAGAUUCACCUAAUCUAUGUGAAUCAUAUGGCCUUUUAAAAUUGUUUUUAGGUUCAAUGGUUCAAAUGUGCUCGAUUAUGGGUGGUUAGUGAUUAAAGAUUAAAGUUUUUUUUGCUG